rnacentral:rRNA from 1 species
UCUGGUUGAUCCUGCCGGACCCUACUGCUAUCGGGGUGGGACUAAAACAUGCUAGUCGAGCGUCCUCAGGCUAUGGUGAGGACGCGGCGAACGGCUCAGUAACACGUGGCCAACCUACCCUUAGGACGGAGACAACCCCGGGAAACUGGGGCUAAUCCCCGAUAGGUGAGGACGCCUGGAAUGGUCCCUCACCCAAAGGACGUUGAAGCCAUGCUUUUCGGCGUUGCCUAAGGAUGGAGCCGCGGCCGAUCAGGUUGUUGGUGAGGUAAUGGCUCACCAAGCCUUUUACCGGUGCGGGCCGUGAGAGCGGGAGCCCGGAGAUGGGCACUGAGACAAGGGCCCAGGCCCUACGGGGCGCAGCAGUCGCGAAAACUUUGCAAUACACGAAAGUGUGACAAGGCUAUCCCGAGUGCCAUCCGCUGAGGAAGGCUUUUACCCAGUAUAAAUAGCUGGGAGAAUAAGGAGAGGGCAAGUCUGGUGUCAGCCGCCGCGGUAAUACCAGCUCUCCGAGUAGUGUGGAUGCUUAUUGGGCCUAAAGCAUCCGUAGCUUGCUAUGCAAGUCCCCUGUUAAAUCCACCGAUUUAAUCGUUGGAUUGCGGGGGAUACUGUUUGGCUAGGGGACGGGAGAGGCCGACGGUAUUUCCGGGGUAGGGGUGAAAUCCUAUAAUCCCGGGAAGACCACCAGUGGCGAAGGCUGUCGGCUAGAACGCGCCCGACGGUGAGGGAUGAAAGCUGGGGGAGCGAACCGGAUUAGAUACCCGGGUAGUCCCAGCUGUAAACGAUGCAGGCUAGGUGUUUGGGCGGCCACGAGCCGCUCUAGUGCCGCAGGGAAGCUGUUAAGCCUGCCGCCUGGGGAGUACGGUCGCAAGGCUAAAACUUAAAGGAAUUGGCGGGGGAGCAC